UGCACUUGAAUGGAGUUCUGGG
rnacentral:miRNA from 1 species